rnacentral:rRNA from 1 species
UGAAUCAUCUAAUCUUUGAACGCACAUUGCGCCCAUUAGCAUUCUAGUGGGCAUGCCUGUUCGAGCGUCAUUUCACCACUUAAGCCCUGUUGCUUAGCGUUGGGAGCCUACGGCAUAGCCCGUAGCUCCUUAAAGUGAUUGGCGGAGUUGGUUCUCACUCUAAGCGUAGUAACUAUAUCUCGCUUCUGUAGUAGUUCCGGCCCCUGCCGUAAAACCCCUUAUACAAAGGUUGACCUCGGAUCAGGUAGGAAUACCCGCUGAACUUAAGCAUAUCAAUAAGCGGAGGAAAAGAAACCAACAGGGAUUGCCCUAGUAACGGCGAGUGAAGCGGCAACAGCUCAAAUUUGAAAUCUGGCUCUAGGGCCCGAGUUGUAAUUUGCAGAGGAUGAUUUUGGCGCGGUGCCUUCCGAGUUCCCUGGAACGGGACGCCUUAGAGGGUGAGAGCCCCGUACGGUUGGACACCAAGCCUCUGUAAAUCUCCUUCGACGAGUCGAGUAGUUUGGGAAUGCUGCUCUAAAUGGGAGGUAAAUUUCUUCUAAAGCUAAAUACCGGCCAGAGACCGAUAGCGCACAAGUAGAGUGAUCGAAAGAUGAAAAGCACUUUGAAAAGAGGGUUAAAUAGCACGUGAAAUUGUUGAAAGGGAAGCAUUUACUACCAGACCUUCUCCCUGCGGAUCAUGCGGUGUUCUCACCGCUGCACUUCGCUUGGUUUAGGCCAGCAUCGGUUUUCGUAUGAGGGAUAAAAGCUUUAGGAACGUAGCUCCCUC